rnacentral:lncRNA from 1 species
UCAUCUGCUCAAGAUAUAUUUCAAAUCUACUUAUGUACAACCAUGCAACUCAAAUUCAUUUGCAUUAUCAAAUCACACAUCAAUUGCCAACUAAUAUAAAGAUAUCUUCUAUUACAACAUUUACACACUUACAUACGGGCAAUAUUGCCGGAAAACUGCCACCCUCCUGGAAGAAACAAACAGUGCUCCAGUCCGCUUUCUUUUUAUAACUACAACUUACGGAAAAUGCUUCCUCGGAACCGAAACUUUCCGUUAGGUUCUUCAAAAUCUCUUUAUAAAGUUCAAAACUAAAUAACACUAGAAUUCUACCAUCACGCUAUUAUAAUUUUUAAACAAUGACAAGCGUACUCUAUUUUAACAAUCACGUUACAACAAUAUUUUAAAAUUAAUAAAGCACUUUAACAUCUGUAAUCAAGCAUGUCAUUUUCUCAGCACUGCAAACUAUUGAGUAGCUAAUAAAUAUUAACUAAUUAUGGCUUAUUCCAAGCCAUAUUUCUGUUACAAUACAUGUAUAAUACCUCCACACAGUUUUGGCUAUUAUGCAAUUGUCACUAAAGUUCAUUUGCGCAUUUUGCAAUAUUCUUACACACAAAGUCAAGUGUUGUCGCUUCUACGUUAAUAACCUGGAAUAACUUGCAGUUAAUAACACUAUCAAUAAUGGAUAAUUAGGAAUAACAUGCACAAGGGCCAAACAUUCUUAAUACUAUUAACAAUAAAUUUUUACAACCACUGAGUAUUUUAAUAAAAUACAAAACAAGUCAAACUCCAAAAAUCGAUAACAUUUUUUUUUUUCAUUUUUUUUCAUUUUUAUUUAAAUGUUAUUCAUUUUGCGGUUUCUCUUGUUUUCUAUACUAUUAACAAUGGAAAUAUAACAUUCUCUAUAUCAUAACAACAUCAUUAUUAUGUACUAUAACACUAUUAAUAAUGCAAGUGCAUAAAACUAUUAUAUAUUCCAUCUGUCUGUAUUUUUUUUUUACAAAAAACUGUCAAAAACUACAUAUAUUGUUAGCAGGUCAACUUAUUAAUCAACUUACAACAAGGGCUAUACAACACUAUACAAUUUUAUAAAAGCCUAGUGAUACAGCACUAUAUAAUGCUAUACGAGACUAAAUGACACUAUAAGGAUGAAAUCCCAAAAAAUUUCGAGAGUAUCAUUUUCUCAAUCAGAAUUUUAAAAUUAAAUACGCAUAAUUUGUUAAGAGGAUAUUAAGUUAAAGUUGUAGCCCUCAUCAAGGCGAACAUCAUUCGUUAGUGUCUUCUUAACAAAAUAUGCAAGCGUAAGGUUUUACACUAUGCGCAUGCGUACACCUUCUUGUUCCCAGCCGACACUUCAAUUUUUAGAAUCUACGGUACAUAAGCUCUCCAUCAAUGCCUUACUCGUGUAUCAAGAGACCAACAAAGCAGGUUAUUCCCGGUCCAUAAUCGAACAAGACAUGAAAGUUAAUAUUAGGCGGUUUCCAACCUGAUGUUGCAUCGAAUUUCAAGGUUUUUCUAGCAGAGACUUGAAUUUGGGCAGGCCUACAGGUUGUAUUUCUGGAAUCAACGAUUCAUAAGCGUUCUCUGGAAGCCUUUUUUGCCCAUCACUAGGCCGGAUGUGGAGAGAAAUGCAGUUUUUUACCAGCGGUGUAAUCGAAAAGACGAUAAAGUUAGAAUUUUUUAAGUGAGGGUUAGGGUUUGGGCUGUCUCCAAUGUGAUGUUCUAUUGAAUUUCAAGGUCCCUGUAACGAAGACGUGAAUUUCGCACGGUCCAAAAAUUCGAUUUUUAUAAUCUACGGUCCAUAAGCUUUCUAUCGAUGCCUUACUCGUCUAUCAAAAGACAGUUUAUGAAGAAACAGACCAGGUUACUCCAGGUGCAUAAUCGAAAAAGACGUGAAACUUAAUAUUAUGCAGUUUCCAACCUAAUGUUCUAUCCAGUUUUAAGGAUAUUAAGCAAAGUUGUAGCCCUCAUCAAGACGAACAAGUUUCGUUAAUAUCUUCUUAACAAAAAAUGCAAGCGUAAGGUUUUACGUUCUGCGCAUGCGCAGACCUUCUCCUUCCCAGCCGGCAUUUCGGUCUGGAGCUCUAUCUGCCUGAAACUUUGGCCGAAAAGUUGAUGUCACGAAAAAUGUCCAUGAAAUCAUUUUCUGAAUCAGAAUUUUACGCUAAAUCCAAUGGUGAUAGUGUCGUCCCCAGCCGCCGCAUUGGUCCGGAGUUAUGGAAGGUUAUGUACUGCGCAUGCGCAGAUCUAUCUUCGUAAAUACGCAUAAUUUGUUGAAAGGAUGUUAAGCAAAGUUGUAGCACUCAUCAAGGCGAAAAACAUUCGUUAAUGUCUUCUUAACAAAAUAUGCAAGCGUAAGGUUUUACCUUCUGCGCAUGCGCAGACUUUCUCCUUCCCAGCCGGAAUUUCGGUCUUGAGCUCUAUCUGGCUGAAACUUUCGCGGAAAAGUUGAUGUCACGAAAAAUGUCCAUGAAAUCAUUUUCUGAACCAGAAUUUUACGCUGAAUCCAAUGGUGAUAGUGUCGUCCCCAGCCGCCGCAUUGGUCCCGAGUUAUGGAAGGUUAUGUACUGCGCAUGCGCAG